UCACUCUUAGUAGAAGCAGAUAGCGCUAGAGUUUAGGCUCUAGUUAUCCUGCUGCAAUGAAGCAAAAAUUAACUCUACAUUUGACUGGAGGCAAAAUUUUCCUUAUUUUCAUCUUUAUACAAGGAGUCUUGACAGAUAAGAAGUCCAAUGAUCCAUGGAAUUUUGGGUUCCCACUAAUAGCAGCAUCUGAAGCUGAUAGAGUGAACCCAGGGGUGGAUUUCAGGUUUAAUGAGCCACCAGUGGUCAUGGAGCUGUCAGGAUCCGGUGAUGACACACCUGUGGAGGAGCCAUUCAUCUUAGGAGUUGAAAGACUAAAGCAGUUAUUCACAAAGAAGAACCAAGUCGAUUAGAAGAAGAGCCAAGAUGAUUAAAAGAACUUGUAGACAUGAUUGUCCCACUGCCUGUCUGCAUGAAACAUUUUUAUUUUUACAUUGGAAUCAAUGUUGGCCAUACGAUUGAAUUUUGUAGAAUUAGGUAAUGAAUGAAAAUGUCAGAUGCAAAAAAAAAAAGUUCAAACAUUUUUUUAAAUCAAAUUAUAUUCAUAUUCAACAAUAAAAAAUGACAAAGACUAUGUGUAUAAUUGUACAGGAAAUAUUAAGAAUAAGCAUGUAUCUGGGAUUAUUAGCAGAAAUAGAUUUGAAUACAAUGCAAUACAAUAUUAAAUUAAAUUAAGAUCACGGUUGUACUGUUUAUCAUGCAUCAUCUUGCUCGGGUGACAAUAAAUGCUUGGAAAUAAUAGGCCAUCUGACGUCUUUUCAUGGACCAACAUCUACUCCAGGCUAUUGGAGA
rnacentral:lncRNA from 1 species